GACAGAGGGUGCAAACGUUGUUCGGAAUUACUGGGCGUAAAGCGCGUGUAGGCGGCAAGGCAAGUCGGAUGUGAAAGCCCACGGCUCAACCGUGGAAGUGCACUCGAAACUGCAGGGCUAGAGUCCUGGAGAGGAAGGUGGAAUGCUUGGUGUAGAGGUGAAAUUCGUAGAUAUCAAGCGGAACACCGGUGGCGAAGGCGGCCUUCUGGACAGUGACUGACGCUGAGACGCGAAAGCGUGGGGAGCAAACAGG
rnacentral:rRNA from 1 species